rnacentral:rRNA from 1 species
UACAGAGGUGGCAAGCGUUGUUCGGAAUUACUGGGCGUAAAGGGCGCGUAGGCGGCCUUCUAAGUCAGACGUGAAAUCCCCCGGCUUAACCUGGGAACUGCGUCUGAUACUGGGAGGCUUGAGUAUGGGAGAGGGAUGUAGAAUUCCAGGUGUAGCGGUGAAAUGCGUAGAUAUCUGGAGGAAUACCGGUGGCGAAGGCGGCAUCCUGGACCAUUACUGACGCUGAGGCGGCGAAAAGCUAGGGGGAGCAAACGGG